UAACUAUAACGGUCCUAAGGUAGCGAAAUUCCUUGUCGGGUAAGUUCCGACCUGCACGAAUGGCGUAAUGAUGGCCAGGCUGUCUCCACCCGAGACUCAGUGAAAUUGAACUCGCUGUGAAGAUGCAGUGUACCCGCGGCAAGACGGAAAGACCCCGUGAACCUUUACUAUAGCUUGACACUGAACAUUGAGCCUUGAUGUGUAGGAUAGGUGGGAGGCUUUGAAGUGUGGACGCCAGUCUGCAUGGAGCCGACCUUGAAAUACCACCCUUUAAUGUUUGAUGUUCUAACGUGGACCCGUGAUCCGGGUUGCGGACAGUGUCUGGUGGGUAGUUUGACUGGGGCGGUCUCCUCCUAAAGAGUAACGGAGGAGCACGAAGGUUGGCUAAUCCUGGUCGGACAUCAGGAGGUUAGUGCAAUGGCAUAAGCCAGCUUGACUGCGAGCGUGACGGCGCGAGCAGGUGCGAAAGCAGGUCAUAGUGAUCCGGUGGUUCUGAAUGGAAGGGCCAUCGCUCAACGGAUAAAAGGUACUCCGGGGAUAACAGGCUGAUACCGCCCAAGAGUUCAUAUCGACGGCGGUGUUUGGCACCUCGAUGUCGGCUCAUCACAUCCUGGGGCUGAAGUAGGUCCCAAGGGUAUGGCUGUUCGCCAUUUAAAGUGGUACGCGAGCUGGGUUUAGAACGUCGUGAGACAGUUCGGUCCCUAUCUGCCGUGGGCGCUGGAGAACUGAGGGGGGCUGCUCCUAGUACGAGAGGACCGGAGUGGACGCAUCACUGGUGUUCGGGUUGUCAUGCCAAUGGCACUGCCCGGUAGCUAAAUGCGGAAGAGAUAAGUGCUGAAAGCAUCUAAGCACGAAACUUGCCCCGAGAUGAGUUCUCCCUGACUCCUUGAGAGUCCUGAAGGAACGUUGAAGACGACGACGUUGAUAGGCCGGGUGUGUAAGCGCAGCGAUGCGUUGAGCUAACCGGUACUAAUGAACCGUGAGGCUUAACCUU
rnacentral:rRNA from 1 species